rnacentral:rRNA from 1 species
UACGGAGGGUGCGAGCGUUAAUCGGAAUUACUGGGCGUAAAGCGUGCGUAGGCGGUUAACUCAGUCAGAUGUGAAAGCCCCGGGCUUAACCUGGGAACUGCAUUUGAUACUGGUUAACUCGAGUUUAAUAGAGGGGAGUGGAAUUUCAGGUGUAGCGGUGAAAUGCGUAGAUAUCUGAAGGAACACCAGUGGCGAAGGCGACUCCCUGGAUUAAAACUGACGCUGAGGUACGAAAGCGUGGGUAGCAAACAGG